ACGACAUUAAGACAAAGCCAGAGAAGAGAAAGGACUUGGUGCUGACACUGGGCCUUGCUGGGGGCGUGAACCUCAAGGACACUGUGUGGAGGGUCAUGAAGAUGCUUAUUCAGAACGACUUGGCCUGCAAAAUGAAUUGGACAGGCCUCCAUGGCAAAACAUCAUUCCAGGGCCUAGAAGUCAAGAAUGUUGUUACAGAAGCCAUUCGGAGAAAUCCUGGAUGCAGAGAAUCCACGAACCAGGAGGUGGAGCAAUGGUUGAGGCGUUGGUUGUAUUUGGCUGGCGAUCGAGAGGGGGG